rnacentral:rRNA from 1 species
GACGAACGCUGGCGGCGUGCUUAACACAUGCAAGUCGAACGGAAAGGCCCUGCUUUUGUGGGGUGCUCGAGUGGCGAACGGGUGAGUAACACGUGAGUAACCUGCCCUUGACUUUGGGAUAACUUCAGGAAACUGGGGCUAAUACCGGAUAGGAGCUCCUGCUGCAUGGUGGGGGUUGGAAAGUUUCGGCGGUUGGGGAUGGACUCGCGGCUUAUCAGCUUGUUGGUGGGGUAGUGGCUUACCAAGGCUUUGACGGGUAGCCGGCCUGAGAGGGUGACCGGCCACAUUGGGACUGAGAUACGGCCCAGACUCCUACGGGAGGCAGCAGUGGGGAAUAUUGCACAAUGGGCGGAAGCCUGAUGCAGCAACGCCGCGUGCGGGAUGACGGCCUUCGGGUUGUAAACCGCUUUCGCCUGUGACGAAGCGUGAGUGACGGUAAUGGGUAAAGAAGCACCGGCUAACUACGUGCCAGCAGCCGCGGUGAUACGUAGGGUGCGAGCGUUGUCCGGAUUUAUUGGGCGUAAAGGGCUCGUAGGUGGUUGAUCGCGUCGGAAGUGUAAUCUUGGGGCUUAACCCUGAGCGUGCUUUCGAUACGGGUUGACUUGAGGAAGGUAGGGGAGAAUGGAAUUCCUGGUGGAGCGGUGGAAUGCGCAGAUAUCAGGAGGAACACCAGUGGCGAAGGCGGUUCUCUGGGCCUUUCCUGACGCUGAGGAGCGAAAGCGUGGGGAGCGAACAGGCUUAGAUACCCUGGUAGUCCACGCUGUAAACGGUGGGUACUAGGUGUGGGGUCCAUUCCACGGGUUCCGUGCCGUAGCUAACGCUUUAAGUACCCCGCCUGGGGAGUACGGCCGCAAGGCUAAAACUCAAAGGAAUUGACGGGGCCCCGCACAAGCGGCGGAGCAUGCGGAUUAAUUCGAUGCAACGCGUAGAACCUUACCUGGGUUUGACAUGGAUCGGGAGUGCUCAGAGAUGGGUGUGCCUCUUUUGGGGUCGGUUCACAGGUGGUGCAUGCCUGUCGUCAGCUCGUGUCGUGAGAUGUUGGGUUAAGUCCCGCAACGAGCGCAACCCUUGUUCACUGUUGCCAGCACGUUAUGGUGGGGACUCAGUGGAGACCGCCGGGGUCAACUCGGAGGAAGGUGGGGAUGACGUCAAGUCCUCAUGCCCCUUAUGUCCAGGGCUUCACGCAUGCUACAAUGGCUGGUACAGAGAGUGGCGAGCCUGUGAGGGUGAGCGAAUCUCGGAAAGCCGGUCUCAGUUCGGAUUGGGGUCUGCAACUCGACCUCAUGAAGUCGGAGUCGCUAGUAAUCGCAGAUCAGCAACGCUGCGGUGAAUAAAUUCCCGGG